rnacentral:rRNA from 1 species
UACGUAGGGCGCAAGCGUUGUCCGGAAUUAUUGGGCGUAAAGAGCUCGUAGGCGGCUUGUCACGUCGGGUGUGAAAGCCCGGGGCUUAACCCCGGGUCUGCAUUCGAUACGGGCUAGCUAGAGUGUGGUAGGGGAGAUCGGAAUUCUUGGUGUAGCAGUGAAAUGCGUAGAUAUCAAGAGGAACACCAGUGGCGAAGGCGGGUCUCUGGGCCGUAACUGACGCUGAGGAGCGAAAGCGUGGGGAGCGAACAGG